rnacentral:rRNA from 1 species
GCGAGUGAAGCGGUAACAGCUCAAAUUUGAAAGCUAGCUCUUUUAGGGUUCGCAUUGUAAUUUGUAGAAGAUGCUUCGGGUGUGGCCCCGGUCUAAGUUCCUUGGAACAGGACGUCAUAGAGGGUGAGAAUCCCGUAUGUGACUGGGUGCUUUCGCUCAUGUGAAGCUCUUUCGACGAGUCGAGUUGUUUGGGAAUGCAGCUCAAAAUGGGUGGUAAAUUUCAUCUAAAGCUAAAUAUUGGCCAGAGACCGAUAGCGCACAAGUAGAGUGAUCGAAAGAUGAAAAGCACUUUGGAAAGAGAGUUAAACAGUAGGUGAAAUUGUUGAAAGGGAAGCGCUUGCAACCAGACUUGCGCGCUGAUGAUCAUCCGGGCUUCUGCCCGGUGCACUCGUCUGCGCUCAGGCCAGCAUCGGUUUUGGUGGUGGGAUAAAGGCCUUGGGAAUGUAGCUUCUUUCGGGGAGUGUUAUAGCCCUCGGUGCAAUGCCGCCUACCGGGACCGAGGACCGCGCU